AAGGGUAUAGCUCAGUGGUAGAGUGUGUGCUUAGCAUGCACAAGGUCCUGGGUUCAAUCCCCAGUACCUCCA
rnacentral:tRNA from 1 species